GUCAUCCUCAUGGAACAGGAGCGAAGAUGCUGUGUGGUGACCUGGGAAAGGGUCCAGAGACUGGACCUAGAGGUGAUGCAAUGGCUGAAAGAUAGAGCUGGAGGCCAGGUCAAUCGAAGGGAUGAAGUGCCCCAUGGGGAGCAGGGGUGAGGGGGCGCAGUGCCCCAUGGGGAGCAGGGGUGAGGGGGCGCAGUGCCCCAUGGGGAGCAGGGUGAGGGAAAAGCCAGCAAUGGUAAUGGCAUGAAAGCACCUUCUGUGGCUGUUCUCUCACCCUGGAGAGGAUAAAGAGUGAAGGCUGCACUUUGGCUGUGCUCUUGGGACCAGACCAUGACUUCCCGCGUGCCAACCUCCCAGAAUGGACAGCUAGGCUUCAGAUGGUCGGUUGGGACCUUGGCCCUAUGUGGGUUUGAGGGAGGAAGAUUGACAGCCACUGCUGCGAGCAGAUCACAAAGCCCUCAGAACCCGGAAGAAUGACUCAUGAGACAGCUGGCUCUGGGGACAGUUCAUAGCAGGUGGAGGCCUGCUUAGGUUCCAUCAAUCACCCACUGUUAUACCGGGUCAUGAAAGAAGGGACGAGGCAGGCUGGGUGGGUAGCAAAGGCCUUCUAUAGAGGAAAGGACUACUUAAUUCUAUUCAUGGACUCAGCAGCUUUGCAUGGGUAGAAUAUUCCCCUGGUUUUAGGGAUUAAUAACUAGGAAAAAACCAGGCAAAAAGAGAUUGAUGUUUGUAGCCUCUGGUUGACCAUACUUCCCUGCAAAAAGCCAUUGUUUUGCACCAAACAAAUGGAGGUGAGGAGAUGGAACAGAAGCUUCCCUUUCUGGUUCACAGGUCAAUAGAAGUUAGCAGCUGAUAUGAGAGUCACUCUAUAGCAAUCUGGAAGUUAGUCUUGGGAUCCAAGUAACAUAUCUACCUCAUUUCUUCUCUUUGCUGAACUUGGGAAGAACUGAAGAAAGCAUCGACACCCUCAUCACUAUGGAAAUCAAUAUUUAUAACUAGGGAGGUCUUAGAAGGAAAGUUCAUCUCGAUCAAGUUGGUCAUAGAAGCAUGAAGAUAUUUUGAUAUUAUUGCUAAUAGCAAUGGAUCAGGAGAUAGAAACUGACUUGGGUGGGUUGCAAAAGUGAGAAAAGAUUCCAGGUACUUUCCAGAGCCCAAGCUCUCUGAAUGCCUCUCCCCACCCAGAGCUUUCCCUGAUGAUUGAAAAGAGCUAAUCCAACAAAUGGCAUUAUCUCCUCUGAAUGGACCCCGUUUAUCACCUGGACAAGCCCAGAAACUUCAACCCCAAGCUUCUCUUUGUUGUAGCAACAGGUGCUCCGGAAGGGAGUGAGGGUGGGCGGGGAAGGAUGUGCUUAGCACCGGAAUGGGGCAAGAAGAAGAAGGAGGAGGCUGUGGAAUGCUCUUUAGGGGAGACCUUUAGAAGAGGAGUCAGCUUUACUUUGCCAGAGGGGCAGGAGCAGAGUCCCUGCAGCCCUUGGAGUGACAGCUGUCAGUCACAAUGAUCUUGCAGUGUCUGGAAAGUGUUCCAUGGCUCAACUGAGUGUUCUAGAAAAUUAAUUUUUCCUAAAAUAAACCAAGGGAAAAAAUUGAG
rnacentral:lncRNA from 1 species